CCUCAGCGCCUCACCUCACAUCCCCCGGAAUUGCCCCCUCAGCGCCUUGUCCCGCUCCCCCAGGGUCGCCCCCCCGGGGAUCUCGCCCCCUCUCGCAGUGGCCGCUCCCCUCAGCUCCCCAUCUCCCGCCAUCGUUUCCUCAGCCCCAGAGCUGCUCCCUCAGCCCCUCACCCCGAGGGAGGGUGAGGCCACCAUUCCCCUAAGGGUUUCACUCUUCACCUUCACCCACUUGGCCGAUAAGGCCCUUCUGAAUAGACUCUUUUCCCUCUUGGUCCCUCACGUUCCCCACAGGGUUGUUUCUCCCCUCCUGCACCUCUGCUCACCUGUAUUUUGUCUGCUCCCGCAUAGAAUAAUCUCCCUUUCUCCAUGCCCUGUCACCUCCUCACGGGAAUCCUGUCACCUCUCAAGCAGCUUUUUCCCAAAGGACUUGUGAGCAAACAGGUAUGUCCCUUAAAAUCCAUACCUCCAGAUUUAUCCAUGCAAUGAGGAUGCCAGAGACUGUGAAGCAAAAGGGUUGCAACAGCACAGUAUGCGUGGAAAAAAUGGGAUGCAAAGGAAAAUUGAUCUUUCUGUCUCUCAGCCUCUCAUUUUGACAGCAUCACAUAACCUUCCCCAUUUUCAUCAGCCUAAUUUCACCCUCAGCUGCCUCAGACCUCGACCUGAGCCUGUUCAGAGACACAAAGUGUCACAGGCAGCUGUACCUGGAUGUUCAGCAAAGUACUGGAGAGACAGAUCAUGCUAAUGAGAGAGAUGUGAUGGUAAAUGUUAAAUAUUCUUAGUGUAUAAUUGCUGUGGGGAUUCCCAUUACAAGUUCCUGCUUUUCAUGGAACAGUGACUGUGCACAACCAGAGACGGAGCACCACGCAUUUAUUUACCUGUUUGAUCAGAUUAAAUUAUUUAAUAUAUUAGUGCAUUAUAACAAAUGUGCUGUGGUAUUGGAGGAAAAGCCUAUUCAGAGCUGGAGUAAGAUGAGAUCUACCUCCAACGUUUUAUGUCCUAUUAAAUCUGGUUGGGAAGAAGCAUUAUUUCCAUGUAAUGGAUGACUGCUCAACACAGGACCCACGCAAAGCCUCUUUGUGUCCCUGAUUCAGCAGUGUGAGCACUCACACAACUGUGCAGCUUGUUUUUGAGGCCAGUUCAUUUGAAACAGGGUUCAGGUAAAUUCGUACAACCAGUUAUUUAGAGAUCUGUGGGAUAGCUCAGUACACUGUAUUUGGUAUCCCUGCCAUUCCUGUGCUGGAGUGUAGAAGAGUCUCCAGGCCUGGUUUUAUUAUAGAAAUAGAUAUUAUUUGCCUCUGUGCUGGAGUAAUUUUUGAACAGGGAGGGUAUGGAGAGCUGCCAUCAAAGGUUUUUGUGAGGGAGAAACUUCAUGGGCAUCUGUUAUUUUUGGUCCAGACACAACACAGAGAACAAGGGCUGCAGAUGGACCCUGAUCCUCCCGUGGGAGCCCUGCGAGGACUCAGAGGAGAGGGAAUGAUGAGAUUGGAAGAUUUUAUGGCAGGUGGGACGUGGCAGCUGAGUUCUGGCAGGUGAGAUAACCUGAAGGCUCCUUGGAAGAAGGGAAAAGCUGCCAAGGUUAGAUUAGUCACAAUAUUUUGUUGCGAGACAGCGAUGGGUGUUAUUGUUAUUGUUUUGUUACCAGAGUAGGAGUUUUACAUUGUUUUCAUUCACUCACAUGCGACAGGAACAGAGGAAGAGAAACACAAAGUGUUUGUACAUUUUAGUGGGAGUAACGCCAAAAAACAUUCCAUAUUUAGAUUUUGUGAUACUAUCAUGGCACUAGUUGAGUAUCUUCCAUAAAAUCAAUACAAAUAGAGCUGAGUAAAGUGGAAUGUUCCCUUCACAAGCUCGCAUCAGGAAGGACAUCAACAGAAGGGAUUUGCAGUAUUUUACACAGUUUGGGAUGUGUCUGUUCUCCAAAGGACUUUUCCACAGGCUCAAAAUUCUCUGUCUCCAGCUCUCCAAUGCUCCUUCCAAGGCCUUCUGGACUGCUUUAUCCCAGAGGAAUAUGGUUGCCACAGUAGCUCCCAGAUGGAGGAUCCAGGUUUGAUGUAGCUGUGGAUUCAACCCACUGCCUUGAAAUACAAACCAAGGCCUUGUAUGGGAAUGAGGAGCUGACUCAGAGCCAGGAAGAGUGAGUGUAGCUCUGGAUGCUUCCACAGCAGGAGAGGCACAGAACGAGGUGCACAGCCACAUUAUUAUCCCACGCUGAACAGAGGGAAUAUUUACCAUUUUAUAGUUAUUGAUUUGCUUAUGUGGAGUUCUUUCUGAAUUCAAUUAAGUUUGAAUUGAAAAUUCAGACUUAAAAAUCAGUUAUUGAAUUCAUGUAAUGUCAUAAAACUGAGAAAUGUGUCCUGUCCUGCCUCAGUGCAGGCAAAUAAAAUAAUUACUAGUAAGUGUAAUUUCCUAAAUUAUUUUAAGUGCCUGCCAUUCAGGAAUUAACAGUACAAUCCAUAAACUUACAUAGCAUGGAACGCUGAUAUAGGUUUUUACAUGAAAUUUUCAAUAUUAGGGCUGUAAUGGAUACAAAUAAACAUCAUGCAGCUUGCCUGGCAUCUGCUGCAGGAGAUGUUGUGUAAUAUAAUGAAAAAUAUAUAAUAUUUUUGUUCUGCCUGUCACCAGCAAACGUCAGCCACUGUAACUUCAAUGUGCAGUCAGAGGGGUACAGCAGAAACUACAAAGAAACCUUGUACUGCUUUAUGGGAGACUAAAAAAACCAGACUGGAAUAACUGUGACACAAAUCAAGCGGAGGGAAUAAAAUCCUUAAGUUGUAAACAGGCUUGUACAGAAAAACAGUCUUUUGCUUUCAUUGUUUUUAGUUAUUUUCAUUAUUUUUGAGCAGAUACUGAGCAUUUCUCGAGCUGCUGUCAUCACCUCUGCCUCUGGUGGCAGGAUCCUGGGAUAAGCUCCUUCCUGUGCUGGUCUCCUGUGUCCUUGUGCUUCUUUGUGCUCACAGUUACUGAGAUUUACCAGAACAUGCUCAUGGUCUGUGGGGAAAAAUUCAGUCCUGUGAGCUGCCCAUGGAAAUUCCUGCUUGGAAUUUGCCUAUUAUAUAAUGGGAUUUAAGGCAACAUCGCCUCACCCUCCAGUUUAAUUUUAUAUGAACAGCUCUGUAUGGUGAACAUCCUUUUCAUCUUAAGGCUUUGCUGUGCAUCUUUCUGUUCAUUUAGAAAUGACACUUUCAGUAUUAAUGACCAUUGUGACACUAAGAAAUGUGUGAAACAGAAGAAAUAGUUGCUAUUUUCAUGUGGGCUGCAAUAACCAGAUUUCCAUCCCCUGAAUCCUGGUACAUGUUAUUUAGGGAGCCUGAAUGCCAUUAUUAAUAAGGCCACUAUGCACAGAAUGGUGGCAUUUCUUGGCACACUAACUGGGAUUAAAAAAUACAGUUCCUUCAUUUUUUUUCUCCAAGUAAAACUUAGAAAGGACUGAAGGGGAAAAAAACAGUGUUUGACAGAGGAGGGGAACAAACUAGACAGUGAAAUAAAAUAAUUUCGAACCUCAGAAAUGUAUUUUAAUUGCAAAAGAAAAAUAUUCCCAUUUAUCUCAUUUAGAAGGGCAAUAAUUGCUGAAAGAUGAGUGGUUUCAAGGUGGGAUUGAGGGAGGAAGAACAAGUAAAAAGAUAUUUUUAUUAAAAUGAAUACAGAUCAUUUGUUAUAGAAAACAUGAGUAUGAAUCACUACCUUGCAAACACAGCCUUACUGAAAUUGGGCAGGAGACAAAUGUAAACCACAGAAUUCUAAUAAAAAUGCUGGAAGGUUUUCUUAGAGACAACCUCAUGCAGUGCUGUUACCCAGCUGUAACUGCACUACCUGUGACACAGCUGGCCCACCUGGAUGGAGAUUCUGCCUGCAUCCAUGAAAUCAUGGAAUCCCAGAAUGGUUUGGGUUGGCAGGAUGUUAAAGCUCAACCAGUGCCACCCCCUGCCAUGGGCAGGGACACCUUCCACUAGCCCAGGUUGCUCCAAGCCCCAUCCAACCUGGCCUUGGACACUUUCCAGGGAUGGGGCAGCCACAACUCACUGUUCCAUCUCUUCCACUGUUGAAUUGUCAUCACAGUCAGGGAGUUUUCUAAUCCACAAUUGAACUUGUGUUACUGCAAUUUAAGCCUUUUCAUUCAUUUUUCCAGUUUUUUCAGGCCCAGAGAACAGUUUAUUUCCUUCCUCUCAUGUGCAGUUUUCUUCACCCAUGAGAGCUGUGACCACAGUUCCUGUCCAUCAUCUCUGCACUAAAUAAUCCCUGCCUUUCAAACUUUCUCUGUAGGCCACGUAUUCUGGAAGUCUCAUCAUUCCUCUGGGAUUUCCUCCAACUUGUCCACACCUCCCUUGAGCUGCUGCUGUUUAGAUGAAGCCUCACCAAUGUGAAAUGUUCUGGACAGAUUCCUGUCUCCCAUGCAAUUCUGCUGCUCGGUGUCUCCGUGUCCCCUCUGCUCUCCCUGCAGCUGGGUGAUAUUGUUGCCUCAUUCUGGGCUUGUAAAUGAAAUAACAACUUCCACUUCAAUUCUGUUUGUGGUGUUUCAUGUGCACAAGCAAAGCAAGCUGGCAUUUAACACUGCUCUCCCUAAUCUCAUGUCUCAUUUUCUUACUCAAGUAGCCUUUCAUGGAGGGAAGGAUCUAAAUGCUGCCCAUCAGUGAGGAAGAGUGGUUGGGAGCUGAACAGAUCCCUGAGUGGUUGUCCUGAAUUUCUGAAUCUCAAAUGUCUCAGAAGGCUCAUUAUUAAUAUCCAAAAAUAGUUUGGUUAAAUGUGACUUAUUCACAGGAUGAGUUGAUUUCAAAUUCUGCCAGAUGGCACAAACCAGUAAAGGCCAAAUAAUUCAUCAUUCCACAGAUUUGGGCUGGACUGGCCUGCAGGUGAAGCCAGGAUGGAUGAAAAUCAUUUCAUGCUGUUACAGAUCUUCCCUUCAGCUUAGCAGGACAUUCACACCAG